GUUUUGUAUUGUUUUUAUAGAGCUGCUCUCACAUGCUUCAGCAAUAUUAGAUGUCCUGGAUGCAGGAAACUCCAAGAUCAUGUUGCCUGAAGAUUUAAUGUCUGAUAUGAUGUUUCCUUAUGUUGCCCGGGCUGGUCUUGAAUUUCUCAGCUCAAGUGAUUUAUCUGCCUGGGCCUCCUAAAGUGCUGGGAUUACAGGCGUGAUCCACCAUGCUCAGCCUGCUCAUCAUUAUUUAUAUAAACUUCAGUCCUAAGAAUUGUGCUUUUCCUUGUGUAGGAUUUACUAAAAAGAGUCUUUUCUUUGGAAUAAACUCUUUUGUGAUUUUUGUAUGAAAAAAUAAUAAGACUAGGAUUAUAGAGCAUAAAUCCUGUGUUGC